UUUUUGUAAAUAAUUUAAAGUCUAGUCUGCCCCCUGAAAAUUUUUAAAGGGCUGCAGUAUUUUGACUGUACAAAGGUAGCAUAAUCAUUUGUCUCUUAAUUGGUGACUUGUAUGAAAGAUUGGAUGAAAUAUAAACUGUCUCAUUAUAAUUAGUAAAAUUUAAUUUUUUAGUAAAAAAGCUAAGAUAAUUUUAAAAGACGAGAAGACCCUAUAGAGUUUAAUAAUUAUUAUUAUGUUAGAAAAAUGUAAAAUUUUAAAUUAAAAUAAUAUUAAUUAUUUUGUUGGGGUGACAAAAAAAUAAAUUAAACUUUUUUUAUAAGGUUUACAUAUAUGAAUGAAUAAAUGAUCCAUUUUUAGUGAUUAAAAGAAAAAAUUACCUUAGGGAUAACAGCGUAAUUUUUUUUUUUAGGCCAUAUAAGAAAAAGAGUUUGCGACCUCGAUGUUGGAUUAAGAUAAAAUUUAAAUGUAAAAGUUUAAAAUUUUGAUCUGUUCGAUCAUUAAAA
rnacentral:rRNA from 1 species